CCUACGGGGGGCAGCAGUGAGGAAUAUUGGUCAAUGGGCGCGAGCCUGAACCAGCCAAGUCGCGUGAGGGAAGACGGUCCUAUGGAUUGUAAACCUCUUUUGUCGGGGAGCAAAAGACGCCACGCGUGGCGUUCCGAGAGUACCCGAAGAAAAAGCAUCGGCUAACUCCGUGCCAGCAGCCGCGGUAAUACGGAGGAUGCGAGCGUUAUCCGGAUUUAUUGGGUUUAAAGGGUGCGCAGGCGGAAGAUCAAGUCAGUGGUAAAAUUGAGAGGCUCAACCUCUUCGAGCCGUUGAAACUGGUUAUCUUGAGUGGGCGAGAAGUAUGCGGAAUGCGUGGUGUAGCGGUGAAAUGCAUAGAUAUCACGCAGAACUCCGAUUGCGAAGGCAGCAUACCGGCGCUCAACUGACGCUCAUGCACGAAAGUGUGGGUAUCGAACAGGAUUAGAUACCCUAGUAGUC
rnacentral:rRNA from 1 species